GAUAGUUUGAGGAGGGUUAAUAACCAAUUUAUCAGAAUGUCAUAAUAUUUGAUCAUAUGGCGUAGAAACGAAAUAGCUACAUUUCAUAAAGUAGUUAUUUGAACACGUGUCUCUAUAAAAUGCUCCCAACUACUGAUAUUAUGUUAUAAUUUAGGUAUAUUCGAUGGUUUAUUUUUUUUGUUCCGACACAAAAGUUUGUAAUCUGCGUUAAAAACUAUAAUUAUCCUAAAUCGUUUUACAGAUUGAAGGUAUCAAUUCGUCACCUUAAAAAUCGAUUAUCGACUUCACCUUUUCUCUAUUGAACAACGCCAGAUUUCAAUCAACAACCGUUCCAUUUCAUCAGAACUGAUUCAAGCAGCUAAAUAUUUCGAUUCGGUAACAGUUUUCGUCACGUAUUAUAAUGAAGUUGAUGUUUUUAAUUAGUUCCCUAUGUUAUUUUAUAUUACUGUAUGUUUUUUCUACAAAUGCCAACGUCGGGUGUGGCCAGGAUUGUUUUCCAGUUACCGAAUUAUCCGACCCCGAGCACUGUAUUCGUAACCCUGAAAAAAGAAAUCUAUGUAAAGGAAAACCANUUUUACACUAUUAUUAUUUUAAAAAUUAAUCAGUCAUUCAUUAAACUGUUUAAUGUUAUAUCUAUUUAUCUAAAAAAAUAUAAUAAGCGCUCGCACCGAAGUCAUAAAAAUGUAUUCUGGCAAAACAAAUUUCGAGUGACCCCUUUGACUAAACACAAGCCUUUUAAUGCCCAAAGAUAUUUGUUAGGUUUGGCAAAUAAACUCUGGUCCAAAAUGUUACCAUUCCAAAUUAUCAUCUCGCCUAACUUUUAAAAGAAACGUCAAAGAAAAAUAUCAAUGUUUUUUUUUUAUCAUUCCAGAAGAGUCAGUAUCCGAUCUAUAACUUUCAUUAAUUACAUUUAAAUAUGAGUCAAAUAAAAUUAGGCAAUAUAAACACAACAUCAAUCGGCUCUUUGAUGAUACCGCCGUGUCGUCAUCAUUCUCUCGCACUAUAUACCAUUAUAAUUAUUUCUAUGCAAAUUUCUAAUCAAAACGUAACACUAUUUUUUUUUAUGGUUCACCUUUUGUUUUGGCUUAUAUAAACAUAUAAAAUUAAAUGGUUAUUUAAAUUGAAAAUGAAGCGUCUUGAUCCCUCGAGAAAUUCCAAGUCGAUCACUCUAUCGAGAAUCCUGCACACAGCAACAACUACGUUUCACCAACUUCUUUUGAUGAUCUCUUUCAAAAAGCUUACUCCGACAUUUACCAGCUAUAAUAACUCGUGUUCGAUUUAUUUAUUAAUUUACUUUAUCGAUUAUUGUUUGUCCAUGGUGCACAAAUUCAUAAUGAACAAUGUCUUCAAUAUCAAAAAAAUUAUAAAAAUUAUAUAUAAUUUGCCGAUAAAAAAUAUCAGCGUUGUCUUGACAUUCGAUUUACUUGGCGAGCUUUUUUUGGUCGAGCAGAAAAUUUUGUUUUCCACUGAGAUGACUGUAACUGUGUUUCCGGGUUGUACCCAUAAACCCAUGUCGUCCCCUGUAAUGAUGUGUUUUAUGAAAUUUAUAUCAGCAGAUCGAUUUUUAAGGUCUUGACAAAUCUUUAAUCGAUUUUCCUUUUGUUCCGAUGUCAACAUGCGUGGAAUGAAUUUAGCAGCUACCCUUCUCAUCUGUACAUUUUCCGUUAAAAUUUCAUGACAAGAUACAAUUGGAAUUCCUGCUUCAUUCGCUAACUCGCGAACAGUUAAUCUGUGGUUAUUUCGAAGUUUUUCUUAAAUGUUCGCCACAACAUCAUCGUUUCUAGAUGUCGAUAGUCUUCCAGAACGUGGAUCAUCUUUAAUUGACUAUCGACUAUCCUUGAAACGAUUAAACCACUCGAAAGUAACGGAGUGACUUAAAGAAUCGUCUCCAAAAGCAGUUUUAAUCAUUGUGUACGUUUCAGUUGCAUUUUUACCAAAUUUCAAGCAAAAUUUGAUGCACACACGUUGUUCGUUAAUUUCGGACAUGACGAGAACGGAGAAGGAAACAAACUGUAUAGAUUUAACCACGUAGAAUAUUAAACUGAGAUAAAAUAGCGACUUCGGGUUUUGUUCAAAAUAUUCUCUAAUACGUUGGGAAUACAUCUAAUUAUAAUUUAAAACGUUAUCAUGUAUAGAUUAGCCGCAAUAAUAUUUGUCCUGGUACUUUUUAACAGACCUCGUACACCUACCAUCAACAUUAAUGCCCCGGUUACAGAAAAGAUAUCGCAACCAAAAAGAAAUAGUCGCUUUAUCAUGGAGUGCGGACAUUAUUUUUUACUAGCUUUUAAUAAAACUUUGACGGAAAAAUAGAUUAAAUCGUAAUAUUGUAGACAGUUUUGGGCUUACCAUUACUAUACCAAUUAAUUAUAUGCACUGCUUUAUAAAUAUAUUACAUUAACCAAUUUAAUUAUCUAUACAUUUGUAGUAAUUUAAUUUAAAUUUACACCAAGUUGGAACAUAGGAGAUAUGCGAGCGGUGAUGAGCAAUUUAUCAGAAUGUCAUUAUAUUUGAUCAUAUGGCGUAAAAAAGAAUAGCCGCGUUUUAUAAAAUGGUGAAUACUUUUUUGAACACAUGUUUAUGAAUAAUGCUCCCCUACUUAUAAAAUUACAUUAUGAUUUAGAUAUAUAUUGAUUGAUUAUUUUUUUGUUACGAAUCAUAAGCCCGUAAUAUGAGUAGAAAACUAAAAUUAUUCUGAAUCGGUUUUUUAGGUUGACGGUAUUUUCCCAUCAAUUCUUGAUUUCAAACCGCAAUUAUCGUCCUCAAAAUUUCUUCAUUGACCAGCGCCAAACUUCAAACAAAAUUUUUACUAGUACAUUCAACUUAUAACAGUGGCUGCAUCCGUAAACAUUAAACUAAGACGUCUUUUUUGUUUUACUAGCUUUUAAUAAAACUAUGACAGAAAAACAGAUUUAAUCAUAAUAUUAUAGACAGUAUUGGGCUCACCAUUAUUAUACCUAUUACUUUUAUACACUGCUGUAUAAAUAUAAUAUAUUAAUCAAUACAAUUAUCUAUAAUUUUUUAAUAAUUUAAUUAAAAUGUACACCAGGUUGGAACACACGGGAUAUGUCAAGCUGCGAUAAGCAAUUUAUCAUAAUACCAUUACAUUUGAUCAUAUGAAAUAGAAAAAAAAAUACCGCGUUUUAUAAAAAGGUGAAUAAUUAUUUAAACACAUGUCUGUAAAUAAUGCUCCCUACUAAUAAAAUAACAUUAUGAUUUAGGUAUAUUCGAUGAUUUAUUUUUUUGUUACGAAACAUAAGCACGUAAUCUACAUUGAAAACUAUNAACAGCAAUUAUCGUCUCCGAAAUUUCUCCAUUGACCAGCGCCAAACUUCAAUCAACAUCCGUUCAAUUCGAUCGGAAUUGAUUUAGGCAACUGAAUACACUCAUUUGGUAAAAUUAUUCUUCAUGUAUUAAAAUGAAGUUGAUGUUUUUAAUUAAUUGCAUAUGUUAUAUUUUAUUACUGUAUGUAUUUUCAACGAAUGCCAACUCCAAUUGUGGCUCUGGAUGUGUUCCUCUUGUCGAUAAACCCGACGGUGAUAUCUGUAGUGAUAACCCUGAUAAAACAGUAAUAUGUUUUGGGAAUCCAGGGUGUACAUGUUGUUGUCCCAACUAAAAACUAUGUGCAAAAGACAUACAUAUAAAAUAAAAAUUAAAUAAAAUAUAUAUAAUUUUCAAAAAUGUAAUUCUUUGCGAUUUCAGUAUAAUAUUCUACCUCUUGUCACUUAAUUAAUAUAUUCUGAAUUUCAAAUAUCAUCACCAAUAAGACACAAUUAAUAACUUCAACAAUAUUAAGGGAAUGCGGGGUUAGAUGAUACAAUUUUGGUAUAUUUAUUUUUAUUAAUUUUCAUAUACGUGGUUAGUCCAUUUUAGUCAGUUGUCACAUUUUGAUAAAAAUUUUAAUUGAAAUUAAUCUAAUUUAAUUAUAAAUAAUAUAUUGUAUGAGAUGUCAAAAUAUAACAACUUGUCCCAUAGUUGGGUAAGUAGUUACAUUCUAUGGGUUAGUUGUUACACUAUAACUUGUAUGUAUGUACCUACCUUAAUCAUGUAUUAAUAUAGUAAAAUAUUUGUUAUAUUUAACAAAUCGUAAUCAAUAGUUAUGUUUUUAUAAACCUUAUAACAUUAUUGUUAAUAAAUUUUAAUUGAACAAUCGAACAACUAUCUAGUACUAUUUAAAAUUUUGAGUGACCGCUAUAACUAUACACAGGCCAUUUUAUGACCAAAAUUAUGAUUAUCUUAGGGUUUUUAUUUCUAUAAUCAAGUAUUUGUUUGGUUUGGCAAUUACCUUUGGCUCAAAGUGAAUCUAAACCGAAUUAGCUUCACGCCUAAUUUUAAAUAAGAAGGGUAGGGCAAAAGUUCGGCUUAAACAUAAGAUUCGGCGCCAUUGCUAAUAGGUACCUACAAUUUGACUCUGCUGUCC